GGGGUUGUGGCUCAGUGGUAGAGCACUCACUUAGCAUGUGAGAGGCCUUGGGUUUGAUCCUAGGCACCACCU
rnacentral:tRNA from 1 species